rnacentral:lncRNA from 1 species
GUUGUCACGCCCCGGGACCCAGCGGAAGCCCGCCCGGCACGUGCCCAGACCCGCCAUACGUCUAAAACAUAUAAGGCGUCUAAAAACAACAAUAAUAAAAGCAAUAAUAAAAGACAUAUAGGAGUAUCAGAGCAUAAUAAAUGUCUAAAUGCUACAACAAGAGAUAAGGAUAAAACUGUAAAUCCACUAAAUAAAACAUAAAGUGAUACAAAGAAAUCCCAGAUACAAGUACUAUAGGUAGAUACAUAGGUGGUCUUUAUACAUGGAUACAAAAACCUCUCACUCUCUCAACUACAAAAAGAAAGAGUAAACCACCUAGGCAAAGUACCGCUCCUCGCUAGCUAGCUGAGCGAUCCCCUUGCCGCGAUCCCGUGCCUCCGCCGGUGCCGAAGGCUCUGAAAAGUAAACCAUAAAAUAGAGGCGUGAGAACUAUUAAAAAUAGUUCCCAGUGGGCAAUUACUGACUUCAGUGAAUGCACCACAAGGCCCAAAGCUACAAAAGAUGUCAAUGACUAUAAAAGUAGAAAAGCGAAAGGUAGGUAAAAAUGUAACUUACUACAACAUGAUAUCUCUACUUAGCAUAAUUAGCAUAAGUAUGAAGCAAGUAUGCAUGAAGUAAAAGUCUCAAACUAUCAUAAUGUUCACAAUGCGAAAUAGUAAAGUUCCGUUGUUUACUAUUCUAGUCAAUGUCCAAGUAGUACACUAAGUUAUCAUCUGUCCACAUGUCAUAAUGAAUACUCAAAGUCGAAUCUGAAGAGACCCACCCGAAGACUGUCUAUGGCCCUGAGACCCACCCGUAGGCUGUCUGGCCGGUGCCGAGCCUAAUGGCCCCGUGGUAGUCAUCAUCCCCACCCUAGGAAUGAGCCUGUCCCACGGCAAUCCACUUCGGCGCCCAAUCCCGCACGGCGAAUAUGAAUCACGAUGGCUAUCUCCGGAGUGCCAGCUUGUAGGGAGCGACCCUCACAAGCAUGUGCGAAUGAGCACAAUGGCAAGUAGGCAAACGAUCUGUCGCAAGUACCAAGUCCUCAUGUCUAAUAACAUGGAAUGUGUCAAGUAUCUCAACGGCCUAUCCCUAUGUCAUCAUGUCUCUAACAUGAA